ACGACAGCGCGGGGGCAACCCUGGCGGCGAGUGGCGAACGGGUGAGUAAUACAUCGGAACGUGCCCAGUCGUGGGGGAUAACGUAGCGAAAGCUACGCUAAUACCGCAUACGAACUGAGGUUGAAAGCGGGGGAUCGCAAGACCUCGCGCGAUUGGAGCGGCCGAUGGCAGAUUAGGUAGUUGGUGGGGUAAAGGCUCACCAAGCCGACGAUCUGUAGCUGGUCUGAGAGGACGACCAGCCACACUGGGACUGAGACACGGCCCAGACUCCUACGGGAGGCAGCAGUGGGGAAUUUUGGACAAUGGGCGCAAGCCUGAUCCAGCCACUCCGCGUGCAGGAUGAAGGCCCUCGGGUUGUAAACUGCUUUUGUACGGAACGAAAAGGCUCUGGUUAAUACCCGGGGCUCAUGACGGUACCGUAAGAAUAAGCACCGGCUAACUACGUGCCAGCAGCCGCGGUAAUACGUAGGGUGCGAGCGUUA
rnacentral:rRNA from 1 species